rnacentral:rRNA from 1 species
GACGAACGCUGGCGGCGUGCUUAACACAUGCAAGUCGAGCGAAGCCUUCGGGCUUAGCGGCGGACGGGUGAGUAACGCGUGGGAACGUGCCCUUUGCUACGGAAUAGCCCCGGGAAACUGGGAGUAAUACCGUAUGUGCCCUUCGGGGGAAAGAUUUAUCGGCAAAGGAUCGGCCCGCGUUGGAUUAGGUAGUUGGUGGGGUAAUGGCCUACCAAGCCGACGAUCCAUAGCUGGUUUGAGAGGAUGAUCAGCCACACUGGGACUGAGACACGGCCCAGACUCCUACGGGAGGCAGCAGUGGGGAAUCUUAGACAAUGGGGGAAACCCUGAUCUAGCCAUGCCGCGUGAUCGAUGAAGGCCUUAGGGUUGUAAAGAUCUUUCAGUGGGGAAGAUAAUGACUGUACCCACAGAAGAAGCCCCGGCUAACUCCGUGCCAGCAGCCGCUGUAAAAC